rnacentral:rRNA from 1 species
UACGUAGGGUGCAAGCGUUGUCCGGAUUUAUUGGGCGUAAAGAGCUCGUAGGCGGUUUGUCGCGUCGGAUGUGAAAACCCAAUGGCUUAACCUUGGGCCUGCAUUCGAUACGGGCAGACUAGAGUGUGGUAGGGGAGACUGGAACUCCUGGUGUAGCGGUGGAAUGCGCAGAUAUCAGGAAGAACACCGAUGGCGAAGGCAGGUCUCUGGGCCACAACUGACGCUGAGGAGCGAAAGCGUGGGGAGCAAACAGG